rnacentral:rRNA from 1 species
GACGAACGCUGGCGGCGUGCCUAAUACAUGCAAGUUGAGCGCUGAAGGUUGGUACUUGUACCAACUGGAUGAGCAGCGAACGGGUGAGUAACGCGUGGGGAAUCUGCCUUUGAGCGGGGGACAACAUUUGGAAACGAAUGCUAAUACCGCAUAAAAACUUUAAACACAAGUUUUAAGUUUGAAAGAUGCAAUUGCAUCACUCAAAGAUGAUCCCGCGUUGUAUUAGCUAGUUGGUGAGGUAAAGGCUCACCAAGGCGAUGAUACAUAGCCGACCUGAGAGGGUGAUCGGCCACAUUGGGACUGAGACACGGCCCAAACUCCUACGGGAAGCAGCAGUAGGGAAUCUUCGGCAAUGGACGAAAGUCUUACCGAGCAACGCCGCGUGAGUGAAGAAGGUUUUCGGAUCGUAAAACUCUGUUGGUAGAGAAGAACGUUGGUGAGAGUGGAAAGCUCAUCAAGUGACGGUAACUACCCAGAAAGGGACGGCUAACUACGUG